GACUCAACUUCCUCACUUGCGAAAUGCAAACAGUAGCAUCCGUUUCAUUGUGUUGUAACUGUAGCAACAAAUAGGAUCACGUACCUAAAACGCCCAGUGCAGAACCUCUGCAGGUAGGACAGCCUGCAAGUCUUGGGUCCAUUAAUUCAUUUUGCUGUAUUCUUGAAGAAAAAAAAUCUUUGCUGAAGCUCAAAAAUCCAGACAUGCCUGUGGUACUUAUAAACGUCCGCCUGGUGCUCCCAGCAGUUCAGUUGGCAUGGACGUAAGAUCUGAGACAUCCUCCUAUGGGGUGGAAGGGUCCUUUCGGACUCCAUCUGCGGCCCUAGGCGACCCUGCAGGAGGAAGCGAAGCUGGAGGAACGAGAUGCUUUCCCCAGCAGGGAAAGACAGAUACAUGGCACUCACACCUCCAGGGUCGAGGCUGUUGGCCUGGUUCCCAGGGGCUGAGGGGGCACCUGCAGAGGCUGCUGGCCUUCGCUGCUGGCCCACAAGCCGGGCUCCAGCUGUCUGCGGCAGACAAGAAGACCCCUGGCGUGCUUCCUUGUUCAGUAGGAUUUGUAAAUCAGCAGAACAGGGCUUGAAUUCAGCCAGAGCUGUGAAGAGUUCUGUGGAGACAGCACGUAUCCACUGGGAUCCUCCAGAGGAACAGGCAUUCAUCAGGGCUCAAGUGGGGGGAGUUCCAGGAGGACAGCAAGGUGGAGGCAUCCCUCCUGGUACCCCACCACCACAUGCCAGGCACAUGGGCCGCUGGGAGUCCCAGAGCCCAUACUAAGUGCUUCAGAAGAAAUCUGUCAUCUAAAGUGCAUGGCUGGGUGCAGAAUCUAGAAACUCCCCAAAUAUGGCCCUUCUCAGACUCACUCUGCUCAGUCCGAGGCCAGAAGCCAGGCAAGAGCCUCUCCAGAGGUGGAUCGGCCGGCGCUGCGAGCUGAGCCUGUGGACGCGUAC